rnacentral:rRNA from 1 species
GAUGAACGCUAGCGGGAGGCUUAACACAUGCAAGUCGAGGGGCAGCACGGGGUAGCAAUACUCUGGUGGCGACCGGCGCACGGGUGAGUAACGCGUAUGCAACCUGCCUUGUACUGGGGGAUAGCCCGGAGAAAUUCGGAUUAAUACCCCAUAACGAUAUAGAAUGGCAUCAUUUUAUAUUUAAAGAUUCAUCGGUACAGGAUGGGCAUGCGUAACAUUAGCUAGUUGGUAGGGUAACGGCCUACCAAGGCAACGAUGUUUAGGGGUCCUGAGAGGGUGCUCCCCCACACUGGUACAGAGACACGGACCAGACUCCUACGGGAUGGCGCAGUGAGGAAUAUUGGUCAAUGGGCGCAAGCCUGAACCAGCCAUCCCGCGUGCAGGAAGACGGCGCUAUGCGUUGUAAACUGCUUUUCCAGGGGAAGAAAACUUCCGUCGUGACGGGACUUGCCGGUACCCUGGGAAUAAGCAUCGGCUAACUCCGUGCCAGCCGCCGCCGUAACAC